rnacentral:lncRNA from 1 species
AUUAAGAAGAAAAAGAUGUUAUAAGACAUGCACUCAGGUUUCAAUGGAAUCAGAAUGGAGAGUUUUGUAACAUGAAGCCAGAGCAAGACUUCCUAAAGAAAUUGUGGAAACAUAUUGCAAAUGGAAGAUGCCAAAAAGGAAAAGAAUGUUUUAUGAAACAAUUGCUUGAAAAUGUGCUAUCAGCUAAACCUAAGUGACAGAGCAGCUCCCACUGGAUUCACAUUCACUUUGCAGUGGUUUACAAAGGACACCUUCCAGGGACGAAAGCUGCAG